GACGAACGCUGGCGGCGUGCUUAACACAUGCAAGUCGAACGGUAAGGCCUUUCGGGGUACACGAGUGGCGAACGGGUGAGUAACACGUGGGCGAUCUGCCCUGCACUUCGGGAUAAGCCCGGGAAACUGGGUCUAAUACCGGAUAGGACUGCGCGGUGCAUGCCGUGUGGUGGAAAGAUUUAUCGGUGCAGGAUGGGCCCGCGGCCUAUCAGCUUGUUGGUGGGGUAAUGGCCUACCAAGGCGACGACGGGUAGCCGGCCUGAGAGGGCGACCGGCCACACUGGGACUGAGACACGGCCCAGACUCCUACGGGAGGCAGCAGUGGGGAAUAUUGCACAAUGGGCGCAAGCCUGAUGCAGCGACGCCGCGUGAGGGAUGACGGCCUUCGGGUUGUAAACCUCUUUCAGCAGGGACGAAGCGUGAGUGACGGUACCUGCAGAAGAAGCACCGGCCAACUACGUG
rnacentral:rRNA from 1 species